CUUUUACAUGUGCCAUCUGUUUCUUGGGGGGACCCUGACUGACCUACCCAUUGAUCUUCAAUGGCACCCAUUUACUUGGCUGCAGCAUGAAAGCACUUUAGAAGGAAGGGAGGGACUCAACCUGGCAGAAGAAGUCAAAAAUGUUCUGAGCCUGGAAAUAGCUCUCUGAGCAGCAAAAUCUUCCAGCAUCCACUUUCUGAAGUGACCCUGAGAGGAGAGGAAGCUCUAGAAAGGAGAGGACAUUUUCUGUCUCUUCCCACACCAGAGAAAUCUUGUAGAAAUCACUUCCCACCCUUCUGUCCACUCCUUCUCU